rnacentral:rRNA from 1 species
AGUGAACGCUGGCGGUAGGCCUAACACAUGCAAGUCGAACGGCAGCACAGUAAGAGCUUGCUCUUACGGGUGGCGAGUGGCGGACGGGUGAGGAAUACAUCGGAAUCUACUUUUUCGUGGGGGGUAACGUAGGGAAACUUACGCUAAUACCGCAUACGACCUACGGGUGAAAGCAGGGGAUCUUCGGACCUUGCGCGAUUGAAUGAGCCGAUGUCGGAUUAGCUAGUUGGCGGGGUAAAGGCCCACCAAGGCGACGAUCCGUAGCUGGUCUGAGAGGAUGAUCAGCCACACUGGAACUGAGACACGGUCCAGACUCCUACGGGAGGCAGCAGUGGGGAAUGUUGGACAAUGGGCGCAAGCCUGAUCCAGCCAUACCGCGUGGGUGAAGAAGGCCUUCGGGUUGUAAAGCCCUUUUGUUGGGAAAGAAAAGCAGCAGGUUAAUACCCCGCUGUUCUGACGGUACCCAAAGAAUAAGCACCGGCUAACUUCGUG